GAGUUUGAUCGUGGCUCAGAUUGAACGCUGGCGGCAGGCCUAACACAUGCAAGUCGAGCGGUAGGGAGAAGCUUGCUUCUCUUGAGAGCGGCGGACGGGUGAGUAAUGCCUAGGAAUCUGCCUGGUAGUGGGGGAUAACGCUCGGAAACGGACGCUAAUACCGCAUACGUCCUACGGGAGGAAGCAGGGGACCUUCGGGCCUUGCGCUAUCAGAUGAGCCUAGGUCGGAUUAGCUAGUUGGUGAGGUAAUGGCUCACCAAGGCGACGAUCCGUAACUGGUCUGAGAGGAUGAUCAGUCACACUGGAACUGAGACACGGUCCAGACUCCUACGGGAGGCAGCGGUGGGAAUAUUGGACAAUGGGCGAAAGCCUGAUCCAGCCAUGCCGCGUGUGUGAAGAAGGUCUUCGGAUUGUAAAGCACUUUAAGUUGGGAGGAAGGGCAGUAAAUUAAUACUUUGCUGUUUGACGUUACCGACAGAAUAAGCACCGGCUAACUCUGUGCCAGCAGCCGCCG
rnacentral:rRNA from 1 species